GCAGUCGAGGGGCAGCGGGGCAGGAAGCUUGCUUUCUGCCGCCGGCGACCGGCGCACGGGUGAGUAACACGUAUGCAACCUGGCCGUGACAGAUGGAUAACCGGGAGAAAUCCCGCCUAAUACAGCAUGACGCCGGGAAGGGACAUCCCUUUCCGGCCAAAGGGGGCGACUCCGGUCACGGAUGGGCAUGCGGCGCAUUAGGUAGUUGGUGGGGCAACGGCCCACCAAGCCGACGAUGCGUAGGGGUUCUGAGAGGAAGGUCCCCCACAUUGGAACUGAGACACGGUCCAAACUCCUACGGGAGGCAGCAGUGAGGAAUAUUGGUCAAUGGCCGGAAGGCUGAACCAGCCAAGUCGCGUGAGGGAAUAAGGCCCUACGGGUCGUAAACCUCUUUUGUCAGGGAGCAAGGCCGCCCACGCGUGGACGGAAGGAGAGUACCUGGAGAAAAAGCAUCGGCUAACUCCGUGCCAGCAGCCGCGGUAAUACGGAGGAUGCGAGCGUUAUCCGGAUUUAUUGGGUUUAAAGGGUGCGUAGGCGGCCUGCCAAGUCAGCGGUAAAAUUGCGGGGCUCAACCCCGUACAGCCGUUGAAACUGCCGGGCUCGAGUGGGCGAGAAGUAUGCGGAAUGCGUGGUGUAGCGGUGAAAUGCAUAGAUAUCACGCAGAACCCCGAUUGCGAAGGCAGCAUACCGGCGCCCUACUGACGCUGAGGCACGAAAGUGCGGGGAUCAAACAGGAUUAGAUACCCUGGUAGUCCGCACAGUAAACGAUGAAUGCUAGCUGUCC
rnacentral:rRNA from 1 species